AGGCUUCUAAUAUAUUGCUAAUGGAGCACAAGUUUGCUCCAUUAGCUUAUAACGCAUUUAGAUAAGUAAAGAUACGCAUUUCUCAGGGUUUUGUGUCGAUUUGGGUAAACAGCAAUAUAAAUGUCUAGCUAAAUGCCGACAAGAUUUUGUUUUAUCUCUGUUAACCGGGUGUUUUUUCUAAACAUUCUUCCAGCAUUUUAGGAUCUGUUUUUUUGUAUAAAGCCAUUGCUCUUUGCUUAUUUUAAGCUUUCCAUAUCUCUUUUAGCAACCGUUCGGAGAAAAGGGAUUUACAAAGGUGGCAAAAAGUGCAAAGAAUAGCAAGAGCUAAAUAUCGAAAGGGUAAAUGACAACGGUGCUGCAAAAAAAAAGAUUGUAGUGGAAAACGUCAAUCUCAAAGUGCUGAUUACAGAAAAUUGUAAAUUCCAGGAAUUAAAUUAAACCUCAAUCUGAAGCCUUUUCGUCUAUUCCGAUAGCGAUAUAUUAACAUAAUAUAGCCUAAUACUGAAAAUGAUCCAUUUUUUGUUGUUAUGAAGUAAUUCAUAAACAAUAAUACGCCUUCCUUUUUAAGAAGGAAAGCUUUUCUAGGCAAGAAACAAGCAUCUUCUGGUGUCCAGUCAUGGUAGAGAUGUAGUAAAUGCAAAUCUGCUAAAGGGAAGUCAUCAUUCCACAUAUCUCCUGUAUAGGUAUUAAUGCGUUCGUAUAAAGCAUAUUUAUUU